rnacentral:tRNA from 1 species
GGUAAGAUGGCCGAAGUAGGCGGUGGAUUGUAGCCCCAUGUAUAGAGGUUUGAGUCCUCUUUUUACCA